rnacentral:ncRNA from 2 species
AAAAAAUGGAUCUUCCGAGCCUUCCGCCUAAGUCCGGUAAGGAAAUGAAAAGGAAAGGAUAAGGAGGGUGGCCGUUACGGCGUGUUUGGAAACGAUCACGCCCCCCGCGCUUGGAAAGGAAGUCCAGGACAAACAAU